GGGACGUGGUGCGUAGGCUGGCCUGUCGUCCAUCUCGGCGGCGGAUCCACGGAGAUGGCAACACGAAUGGUGUAGAUCUGGAGAUCCAACAAGACCACACGGGAGAGGAGCCACGCUCAGGACGGCCGCUUUUGGGAGCCCCCAUAGCCAUCGUGGACACGGCACUCACCUCCUCCACCGCGUCACCAUGAUGCCAGAAAAGAGAAGUGGGGAAGAUGACCGUAGAGGAGUCGAGCCUUGGGUUUUCUUGUUCUUGCUAUUUCCUCUGAAUGGGCUGGGUGCUAAUUGAUGUCCUUCUUGCUAAUUCCUCUGAACGGGAUGGGUGCUAAUUGAUGUGUCCUUAAUUUGGAUCAGUUUGGGGUGCUAAUUCCUCUGAACGGGCUGGGCUAUUAAGAUGUUGGUUACAUAUUAAAAAUAUACCGUGGAUACGUUUUCAUUGAAACUGAUCGCAAAGAUGCAAUCAGUGGCUCGCUUCUUGGCUGCCAAGAAUCGUGGAGAAGUAAGUACCUGACCAACUUCGGGAAGAUACUGUGGACAAGAAGCACAAGGUUCUUUCAGUACCAGUAACCCAAUAAAAUAUUCAAAAUUUGCAAAUCCUAGAAAUGUUCACAGAGAUGGGGAAUGACAACUUAGAGAUCAAGCUGAGGCAAGUGUUCCAGCAUCCAGCUUCGAUUUUCUUUUUUUUCCAUUUUACCUGCAACACUUCAAUGUUCAUACGACCCAAUUGUUGUGGAUGAUGACUGCAUGCAGCCCAAGAGCUGAUCUCCAUCGAGGAGGUGCUCCAGAACAGCGAGACAACCCGAGAGACUAGAUGUUUCCAAGGUGGGCAUCUCUGAAAGGACACACACACCUCACGGUGCAAUAUCUUGUGGAGUAAUUUGCCUGAAGACAGAUGAUAUGGAAGAUGCCUUUGAUAACUGCCAUCAGAUUAGGCUAUCCACCAGUUUGAGCCCACUGACUCAAUUUCGUGUUCACUUUUAAUUUCUUGCAAGUUUAUGUGCACAUUUUUUUAGGGAAAAUGACGUUACAAACGAACAUGAUUAACCUCAGUGCAAUUUUUAUAUACAGCUGCUCGUUAUAUACGGCCAUUCACUUUCUUAACUGUUAUUUUCAGUUGUUUUGUUUAGUAUUACUUUAGUGCUAUCACAUGUAUACGUGAGAUAGCUGAGAAUUAUGAUGAUGCUUUAUAUUAUCUAGGGAACAUUGAUCAUGCCAUAGAAGGUAAUAUUUUUUGGGCAAGGUUCUUCCCGUUACAAAGAGCAAAGCUUAGCAGUUUGCUUUUCAUUUGCUGGUUGGAGAACGGUAUUCAUGCUAGCAAGGUUACCUGAUCAACUCAUGACUGUCUAGAGAGGUAUUUGAUGAUUUGUUGAGCAUUUGUGUUGUAUAUUACAUCUUCUUGAUAUUCAGUAGGAAUUAUGUUGUAGAUUACAUGUUCUUAUUUAUUGUGGUAAAGGAUAUACUUUCAUGGUUUUUUUUUCACAGAUGUAAGUUAACUUAGCCCAUAAUCUUUCACUCACAAUGCUAGAAAAUGUAACCAAUACCAUUUCUAAUUGAUACUGACAUCCAUUUUCAACAUGGGCACUUUUUUCUAUUAACAAAAGCAAAUAAUUAUUUGAUUCUCCAGAACGUAUAUACUAUAUCCAUGAGUUCUAUAUUUGUCGUGCCUUGAUGAUUAUUGCAGUAAACUUUCAUGUUUGCAACUUUCCAGUUUCAUUUAUUUGUGCAACUUGAGUGCUAUAUGAUUGACUAUGCAUAGUCUAGAACAAACCGUUUGGAGAUAAUUUCUUCAUGUUCAGCGAAUUCUGUUGCAAAACCUACUUGAGUUCACCAAUCCUAAAGUAAUAUAACUUGAUAAUUAUGUAGCUUUGGAAAUUUGUAACGCGUUUCAGAAUUCUUCAUUUAUGCAUGGAUUCAUUAACAAAGUGUAGACUCUGAUGCGAAGGGGAGAACAGCCAGAGAGGCUUCAUAUAUGAGACCGAUGGCACAGUGACUAUAUGUGAUAUAAACCGUCAAGUAUAAGUACAAUUUGCUUUCUCUUGAAAACAAGGAUUUUUAUGUAUUACAACAGACUUGUAAAACAUGAAAUUUGGGAUUUGUAAUUCUGGUUUUCAAACUUGUCAAAACUAUGAUGGCAAGCAUCGUGUGUAACUGCAAUUAUGUAGUAGAUCUUAAGCGUAUCACAUGGUGUAGAUGUUGGCUGAUAAGAGGUAACUAAUUGGCUUUUCGAUUUC